rnacentral:tRNA from 1 species
GAGGGUAUAGCUCAUGCGGUAGAGUGUAUGCUUUGCAUGCGUGAGGUCCUAGGUUCAAUCCCCGGUCCCUCCA